rnacentral:misc_RNA from 1 species
GGAACUGAGCUGACACCAUAUGUGGCAAAGACAUAAUACUAGCAGCACACAUGACCAAAAGAAACAGAAUAAUAAAAUUUAGAGACUAACUAAUUAGCUUACCUUAGAAAACAGAGGGAGCUAAGCUCAGAUUCAGGAGCAGUAGAGACCAGAGAGAGACAGGUCAGAAGCAACGGUGGAGAGAGGUAGCAUGUCUCAGUUAAAGAGAGCCUCAAAGCCUUCUAGUUUUCAACCAAAUGGGAUAGGGAGAUUCAGAGAGCAGGCCUAGUAAUAUGGGACUGACUGAUUGAGAGAGUCAGAGAGCAUGGGGGGUAGCUAUGACCAUGGCCGGUGACUGUGAGGGAGGCAGGUGAGUUAAGUCUGAAACUGAGUGAGAUAGAGAUAGGCAGUCAGGGCAGGUAGGUUUUUCUUUGGUUUGGCUUGUAAAAAACAAUGUAGUUUUU